GGCACCAUAGUGUAGCGGUUAUCACCUCGGAUUCUGACUUUCCCAUCAGUCUUCCGGUAACCCCAGUUCGAGUCUGGGUGGCGCCU